rnacentral:rRNA from 1 species
AGCUCCAAUAGCGUAUAUUAAAGUUGCUGCGGUUAAAAAGCUCGUAGUUGGAUCUCAGUCUUUGUUUUAAGGUCUGCCUUGAGGUAGUACUUUAUAAACUAGACAUCUUGCCGGCUCUCUCGGCUUGCACUUUAUUGUGUGUGUCGAGGGACUGGCGCGUUCACUUUGAAAAAAUUAGAGUGCUCAAAGCAGGCUUUUCAGGCUUGAAUAUUCGUGCAUGGAAUAAUGGAAUAGGAACUCGUUCCUAUUUUGUUGGUUUUCGGGAAUCGAGUUAAUGAUUAAUAGGGACAAUUGGGGGCAUUAGUAUUCAGACGACAGAGGUGAAAUUCUUGGACCGUCUGAAGACUAACUACUGCGAAAGCAUUUGCCAAGAGUGUUUUCAUUAAUCAAGAACGAAAGU